AUUGAACGCUGGCGGCAGGCCUAACACAUGCAAGUCGAACGGUAACAGGAAGAAGCUUGCUUCUUUGCUGACGAGUGGCGGACGGGUGAGUAAUGUCUGGGAAACUGCCUGAUGGAGGGGGAUAACUACUGGAAACGGUAGCUAAUACCGCAUAACGUCGCAAGACCAAAGAGGGGGACCUUCGGGCCUCUUGCCAUCGGAUGUGCCCAGAUGGGAUUAGCUAGUAGGUGGGGUAACGGCUCACCUAGGCGACGAUCCCUAGCUGGUCUGAGAGGAUGACCAGCCACACUGGAACUGAGACACGGUCCAGACUCCUGCGGGAGGCAGCAGUGGGGAAUAUUGCACAAAGGGCGCAAGCCUGAUGCAGCCAUGCCGCGUGUAUGAAGAAGGCCUUCGGGUUGUAAAGUACUUUCAGCGGGGAGGAAGGGAGUAAAGUUAAUACCUUUGCUCAUUGACGUUACCCGCAGAAGAAGCACCGGCUAACUCCGUG
rnacentral:rRNA from 1 species